CCAUUAAGCAGACUAAGCACGUGCUUAGGGCACCAGGGCCAAAGGGGACACCACAAAGUUGGGAAAAGGAUGUUGUAUUGCAUUUUUGUAGAACUUUAUGUAGCCCAAACUUGGCUUUGUUUGUACAGUAUAUUGUGUUAUCAUAUGAAUAAAUUUUUGUAUUGCUGCAA